GGACUUGUAGCUCAGUGAUAAGAGCGUCUGCUUUUUAUGCACAAGAUCCAGGGUUCAAUAUCCAGCUAGACUG